GCUCUCCAAUCAGCAUCCUCUGCUGCUGACUCUGCUACUGUAUGAGGGCAUUGACUGGAGGAGGAGCAUAGAAGACACAUUUUGUCUCCUCAGUCACCCUGUAGGCCUUGCAAAUAUAUUUGAAGGGUUCAGUUCAAGCUGUAUUUGUUUUCUGGAGAUGACGUUAACAAUGCUACUCUACAGAGUUCUUUGGCUCAGCAUCCUAACAGGUGUUUGCACAGGACAGAAAAUUACUUCAGACAGAACUGAAGUGUUCCCAGAGGAAGGAGUGAAUGUUAGCUUGUCCUGUAGCUACUCCUCUGCAUAUUCUCUCCAGUGGUAUGUCCAGUAUCCCAGAUCAGCUCCACAGUUCCUCCUGCUUGUGCUGCACUCCACUGGGAAAGACCCGAGCCCAGGCAAACAUCCUCGCCUGAUGGGGAAACUAAACCAAGAGAAAACUCAAGUGUUUCUGCAGAUCUCCUCUGUUCAAGUCUCUGACUCUGCGCUGUACUACUGUGCUCUGACGCCCACAGUGACACGAAACCACAGACUGCAAUACAAAAACCUGACUGACAGCGAGGGAUUGUAUUGCUCUGUUGUCUGAAAUGCAGGGACAAGGAACUCUAACUAAAAACAAUUAAUUUCUCCUAUAGAAUUACAGUAAACAAAUCUUAAGGGGCCAUACACUGUAUCUACAAAUGUCUUUUAUGCAAACAAUAACUCAUAACUCUAUGAUCAACAAUGCAUGUGUGAUCACUCCAUUAAUUUGUUAAUUCAUCAUGUUCAUAAUAAUAAUAACACCAAGGUAACAAAAACCCAAUAACAUUUUAGAGGCAUAUAACAAUUAAAUCUGUAUGACAUACAAAAUUAAAAUUAAAACAUGCGGAUGAAUCAAAAUAUAAAAUGUUCUUUAAUCUGUUUCCAGACCACGUUAUCCAUAUACCUACUGUACAUGCAUUUUAUAUAAUGUGAAAUAAUAUCUCUUUUCAUUUUCUAGUGUGAAAUGUGGGAAUGAAAAUCAGCUCCUCGGCAUCUCAUCAGUACUGUGAGGCAAAAACAGACUUCAGCUGUAGAUCCUCGUCUGUCUUCAAAG